GGCCGGUACUCUGAAUCAGAAAGAAAAGGAUGCUAAAGAACGUCCCAGAGUGAUAAUAACUGGUGUGUCUUUCCUUUUAUCAGGAACGUCUACCACCUCUGGCUCGAAUGAGAGAGACGGUAGACCUUUAUACACAAAGGUCGAACACUGUGGAUCACACCCAAAUGUUCCAAACGGGGAUGUUGUGCAGCAGAAUGAUGAGUUUUUGAAAUACCAAUGUAACGCCUUUUACGCACAAGUCGGAUCAGACACCGUGAAGUGUUACAACAAUGGCAGCUGGUCACAACUACCCAUCUGCCAAGCAGCGUUCUGUAGCCUGGAUGCUGCUGAUCCGGUGUGGAAGAAUUUAAGACUGUCUGGAGUUGAAUACAUAAAGGAAGGAGAGGAGGAGUACAUUUCAUGUAUUUGGCGGUCUUACAUCAGCCUUGUUAAGUGCAUCAAUGGAGAAACGGUUUAUACCGGGUGUUGUCAUUCUACUGACCAUUAUUAUGGACGUUGCACGUAAAGCACAGCAGAGGAAUCACUGCUGGACCGACGACCUUCCAUGAAAUAGUCUCCAUUUACCUUUAACAUUCUCUUGUAUCUUUAUGAUUGUAACUCUUAAUGCACUAACAACCAGACCUAUACUUUGAAUAUAAAUUAAGUUACUUUGGUCUACAGUAGUCUGAAUAAAAUGUUCACUACAGAAA